CGUCACACUAUCAUUAACUGAAUCCAUAGGUUAAUGAGGCGAACCGGGGGAACUGAAACAUCUAAGUACCCCGAGGAAAAGAAAUCAACCGAGAUUCCCCCAGUAGCGGCGAGCGAACGGGGAGGAGCCCAGAGCCUGAAUCAGCAUGUGUGUUAGUGGAAGCGUCUGGAAAGGCGCGCGAUACAGGGUGACAGCCCCGUACACAAAAGCGCAUGUGCUGUGAGCUCGAUGAGUAGGGCGGGACACGUGGUAUCCUGUCUGAAUAUGGGGGGACCAUCCUCCAAGGCUAAAUACUCCUGACUGACCGAUAGUGAACCAGUACCGUGAGGGAAAGGCGAAAAGAACCCCGGCGAGGGGAGUGAAAAAGAACCUGAAACCGUGUACGUACAAGCAGUGGGAGCACAGGUUUACCUGUGUGACUGCGUACCUUUUGUAUAAUGGGUCAGCGACUUAUAUUCUGUAGCAAGGUUAACCGUAUAGGGGAGCCGAAGGGAAACCGAGUCUUAACCGGGCGUUAAGUUGCAGGGUAUAGACCCGAAACCCGGUGAUCUAGCCAUGGGCAGGUUGAAGGUUGGGUAACACUAACUGGAGGACCGAACCGACUAAUGUUGAAAAAUUAGCGGAUGACCUGUGGCUGGGGGUGAAAGGCCAAUCAAACCGGGAGAUAGCUGGUUCUCCCCGAAAGCUAUUUAGGUAGCGCCUCGUGAACUCAUCUCCGGGGGUAGAGCACUGUUUCGGCUAGGGGGCCAUCCCGGCUUACCAACCCGAUGCAAACUGCGAAUACCGGAGAAUGUUAUCACGGGAGACACACGGCGGGUGCUAACGUCCGUCGUGAAGAGGGAAACAACCCAGACCGCCAGCUAAGGUCCCAAAGUCAUGGUUAAGUGGGAAACGAUGUGGGAAGGCCCAGACAGCCAGGAUGUUGGCUUAGAAGCAGCCAUCAUUUAAAGAAAGCGUAAUAGCUCACUGGUCGAGUCGGCCUGCGCGGAAGAUGUAACGGGGCUAAACCAUGCACCGAAGCUGCGGCAGCGACAUUUAGGUGUUGUUGGGUAGGGGAGCGUUCUGUAAGCCUGUGAAGGUGGCCUGUGAGGGUUGCUGGAGGUAUCAGAAGUGCGAAUGCUGACAUAAGUAACGAUAAAGCGGGUGAAAAGCCCGCUCGCCGGAAGACCAAGGGUUCCUGUCCAACGUUAAUCGGGGCAGGGUGAGUCGACCCCUAAGGCGAGGCCGAAAGGCGUAGUCGAUGGGAAACGGGUUAAUAUUCCCGUACUUGGUGUUACUGCGAAGGGGGGACGGAGAAGGCUAUGUUGGCCGGGCGACGGUUGUCCCGGUUUAAGCGUGUAGGUGUGUGUUCCAGGUAAAUCCGGUUCACUUUAACACUGAGGCGUGAUGACGAGGCACUACGGUGCUGAAGCAACAAAUGCCCUGCUUCCAGGAAAAGCCUCUAAGCAUCAGGUAACAUCAAAUCGUACCCCAAACCGACACAGGUGGUCAGGUAGAGAAUACCAAGGCGCUUGAGAGAACUCGGGUGAAGGAACUAGGCAAAAUGGUGCCGUAACUUCGGGAGAAGGCACGCUGACACGUAGGUGAAGUGAUUUACUCAUGGAGCUGAAGUCAGUCGAAGAUACCAGCUGGCUGCAACUGUUUAUUAAAAACACAGCACUGUGCAAACACGAAAGUGGACGUAUACGGUGUGACGCCUGCCCGGUGCCGGAAGGUUAAUUGAUGGGGUCAGCGCAAGCGAAGCUCCUGAUCGAAGCCCCGGUAAACGGCGGCCGUAACUAUAACGGUCCUAAGGUAGCGAAAUUCCUUGUCGGGUAAGUUCCGACCUGCACGAAUGGCGUAAUGAUGGCCAGGCUGUCUCCACCCGAGACUCAGUGAAAUUGAACUCGCUGUGAAGAUGCAGUGUACCCGCGGCAAGACGGAAAGACCCCGUGAACCUUUACUAUAGCUUGACACUGAACAUUGAGCCUUGAUGUGUAGGAUAGGUGGGAGGCUU
rnacentral:rRNA from 1 species